GCCCUUCGGGGUACACGAGCGGCGAACGGGUGAGUAACACGUGGGUAACCUGCCCUGUACUCUGGGAUAAGCCUUGGAAACGAGGUCUAAUACCGGAUACGACUAUUGAAUGCAUGUUCGGUAGUGGAAAGUUCCGGCGGUAUGGGAUGGACCCGCGGCCUAUCAGCUUGUUGGUGGGGUAAUGGCCUACCAAGGCGACGACGGGUAGCCGGCCUGAGAGGGUGACCGGCCACACUGGGACUGAGACACGGCCCAGACUCCUACGGGAGGCAGCAGUGGGGAAUAUUGCACAAUGGGCGAAAGCCUGAUGCAGCGACGCCGCGUGAGGGAUGACGGCCUUCGGGUUGUAAACCUCUUUCAGCAGGGACGAAGCGCAAGUGACGGUACCUGCAGAAGAAGCACCGGCUAACUACGUGCCAGCAGCCGCGGUAAUACGUAGGGUGCGAGCGUUGUCCGGAAUUAUUGGGCGUAAAGAGCUCGUAGGCGGUUUGUCGCGUCGGCCGUGAAAACUUGGGGCUUAACCCCAAGCUUGCGGUCGAUACGGGCAGACUUGAGUUCGGCAGGGGAGACUGGAAUUCCUGGUGUAGCGGUGAAAUGCGCAGAUAUCAGGAGGAACACCGGUGGCGAAGGCGGGUCUCUGGGCCGAUACUGACGCUGAGGAGCGAAAGCGUGGGGAGCGAACAGGAUUAGAUACCCUGGUAGUCCACGCCGUAAACGGUGGGUGCUAGGUGUGG
rnacentral:rRNA from 2 species